rnacentral:rRNA from 1 species
AGAGUUUGAUCAUGGCUCAGGAUGAACGCUGGCGGCGUGCCUAACACAUGCAAGUCGAGCGAUUCUCUUCGGAGAAGAGCGGCGGACGGGUGAGUAACGCGUGGGUAACCUGCCCUGUACACACGGAUAACAUACCGAAAGGUAUGCUAAUACGAGAUAAUAUGCUUUUAUCGCAUGGUAGAAGUAUCAAAGCUUUUGCGGUACAGGAUGGACCCGCGUCUGAUUAGCUAGUUGGUAAGGUAACGGCUUACCAAGGCGACGAUCAGUAGCCGACCUGAGAGGGUGAUCGGCCACAUUGGAACUGAGACACGGUCCAAACUCCUACGGGAGGCAGCAGUGGGGAAUAUUGCACAAUGGGCGAAAGCCUGAUGCAGCAACGCCGCGUGAGCGAUGAAGGCCUUCGGGUCGUAAAGCUCUGUCCUCAAGGAAGAUAAUGACGGUACUUGAGGAGGAAGCCCCGGCUAACUACGUGCCAGCAGCCGCGGUAAUACGUAGGGGGCUAGCGUUAUCCGGAAUUACUGGGCGUAAAGGGUGCGUAGGUGGUUUCUUAAGUCAGAGGUGAAAGGCUACGGCUCAACCGUAGUAAGCCUUUGAAGCUGGGAAACUUGAGUGCAGGAGAGGAGAGUGGAAUUCCUAGUGUAGCGGUGAAAUGCGUAGAUAUUAGGAGGAACACCAGUUGCGAAGGCGGCUCUCUGGACUGUAACUGACACUGAGGCACGAAAGCGUGGGGAGCAAACAGGAUUAGAUACCCUGUAGUCCACGCCGUAAACGAUGAGUACUAGCUGUCGGAGGUUACCCCCUUCGGUGGCGCAGCUAACGCAUUAAGUACUCCGCCUGGGAAGUACGCUCGCAAGAGUGAAACUCAAAGGAAUUGACGGGGACCCGCACAAGUAGCGGAGCAUGUGGUUUAAUUCGAAGCAACGCGAAGAACCUUACCUAAGCUUGACAUCCUUUUGACCGAUGCCUAAUCGCAUCUUUCCCUUUGGGGACAGAAGUGACAGGUGGUGCAUGGUUGUCGUCAGCUCGUGUCGUGAGAUGUUGGGUUAAGUCCCGCAACGAGCGCAACCCUUGCCUUUAGUUGCCAGCAUUAAGUUGGGCACUCUAGAGGGACUGCCAGGGAUAACCUGGAGGAAGGUGGGGAUGACGUCAAAUCAUCAUGCCCCUUAUGCUUAGGGCUACACACGUGCUACAAUGGGUGGUACAGAGGGCAGCCAAGUCGUGAGGCGGAGCUAAUCCCUUAAAGCCAUUCUCAGUUCGGAUUGUAGGCUGAAACUCGCCUACAUGAAGCUGGAGUUACUAGUAAUCGCAGAUCAGAAUGCUGCGGUGAAUGCGUUCCCGGGUCUUGUACACACCGCCCGUCACACCACGGGAGUUGGGGGCGCCCGAAGCCGGAUUGCUAACCUUUUGGAAGCGUCCGUCGAAGGUGAAAUCAAUAACUGGGGUGAAGUCGUAACAAGGUA